rnacentral:rRNA from 1 species
CCUCUCAUUAGAUCGUACCCUAAACCGACACAGGUGGACUGGUAGAGAAUACCAAGGCGCUUGAGAGAACGAUGUUGAAGGAACUCGGCAAAAUACCUCCGUAAGUUCGCGAGAAGGAGGCCCAGUUUCUACGCAAGUAUUGGCUGGGGGCACAAACCAGGGGGUGGCGACUGUUUACUAAAAACACAGGGCUCUGCGAAGUCGCAAGACGACGUAUAGGGUCUGACGCCUGCCCGGUGCCUGAAGGUUAAAAGGAGGAGUGCAAGCUCUGAAUUGAAGCCCAGGUAAACGGCGGCCGUAACUAUAACGGUCCUAAGGUAGCGAAAUUCCUUGUCGGGUAAGUUCCGACCUGCACGAAUGGCGUAACGACUUCCCCGCUGUCUCCAACAUCGACUCAGCGAAAUUGAAUUACCUGUCAAGAUGCAGGUUACCCGCGGUUAGACGGAAAGACCCCGUGCACCUUUACUACAGCUUCAGACUGAUAUCAGGUCAAGCAUGUGCAGGAUAGGUGGUAGGCUUUGAAGCAUGGACGCCAGUCUGUGUGGAGCCUCCCUUGAGAUACCACCCUUGCUUCGCUUGAUAUCUAACCGCGGUCCGUUAUCCGGAUCCGGGACCCUCUGUGGCGGGUAGUUUGACUGGGGCGGUCGCCUCCUAAAGAGUAACGGAGGCGCGCGAAGGUUGGCUCAGAUCGGUCGGACAUCGAUCGUUGAGUGCAAUGGCAGAAGCCAGCCUGACUGCGAGACUGACAAGUCGAGCAGAGUCGAAAGACGGCCAUAGUGAUCCGGUGGUCCCAAGUGGGAGGGCCAUCGCUCAACGGAUAAAAGGUACGCCGGGGAUAACAGGCUGAUACUGCCCAAGAGUCCAUAUCGACGGCAGUGUUUGGCACCUCGAUGUCGGCUCAUCUCAUCCUGGGGCUGGAGCAGGUCCCAAGGGUACGGCUGUUCGCCGUUUAAAGAGGUACGUGAGCUGGGUUUAGAACGUCGUGAGACAGUUCGGUCCCUAUCUUCCGUGGGUGUAGGAUAUUUGAGAAGAGUUGCCCCUAGUACGAGAGGACCGGGGUGAACGAUCCACUGGUGGACCAGUUGUUAUGCCAAUAGCAGUGCUGGGUAGCUAUGAUCGGACAGGAUAACCGCUGAAGGCAUCUAAGCGGGAAGCCCCCUUCAAAACAAGAUAUCCCUGAGGGCCGUGGUAGACCACCACGUCGAUAGGCCAGAGAUGUAAGCGCAGCAAUGCGUUCAGUUGACUGGUACUAAUUGCCCGAUAGGCUUGAU